CACGCAAUCAACUGGAACUCCUUGUUAUCCUGAGAAGAAUUUCGGGCAACUAAAGGAAAUUUUCAAGUUUAGCGUUGACGAACUCACUUAGCGAGUCUUCGCCAGUGAUCGGAAAGUUGAUAAUCCGUCGACGCGCCGUCUGGAGAAUAUGGUAGGUGCCAUGGAACCUCCUACAAAACUCGCGGCAGCGGCUUGAACGACCAGGAUGGGUCCUGGCAUAGUUGUGUUGUUCUCUGCCAGGUGACGUGGUCCGCAUACUCAUGGUCCAAAAUGACACCUUCAACAACAAACGACUUCAUUCCUCACAGUUGUGGAAACCCCGCUGUAAGCGACACAGAUAUAUCCGCAAAUCGUCUGAAGCACUCAGUUAUACAACCGCUCAACGAUCAUCAGCUUGUCUUUGUCAUAUCCCAGCGAGGCGUUCUACUUCAGCGUCAUUCCUGUUUUCUCAGCAUCAGUUGCUUUCCUAAUGCGGUCUUGAUUUGGAAGUUUGUGUGCACGGAAAGAGCAAACUUCGCUACGGUCACCGCAAAUACAGAUAGGCCGCUCAAUCUCAGCUAUUUAUAGGCCACUCGGCCAUUUGUUUCGCUGCACAGAAUGAGAGCCUGACAUGGUACUUACGUGAGCGCGCAAUCUCACGAGUAGUUG